CCUACGGGAGGCAGCAGUAGGGAAUCUUGUGCAAUGGGCGAAAGCCUGACACAGCAACUCCGCGUGCGGGAAGAAGGCCUUAGGGUUGUAAACCGCUUUUGGCAGGAACGAAAAUGACGGUACCUGCAGAAUAAGGUGCGGCCAACUACGUGCCAGCAGCCGCGGUGACACGUAGGCACCAAGCGUUGUCCGGAUUUAUUGGGCGUAAAGAGCUCGUAGGCGGUUCAGUUAGUCGGGUGUGAAAACUCUGGGCUUAACCCGGAGACGCCACUCGAUACUGCUGGGCUAGAAUUCGGUAGGGGAGUGGGGAAUUCCUGGUGUAGCGGUGAAAUGCGCAGAUAUCAGGAGGAACACCGGUGGCGAAGGCGCCACUCUGGGCCGACAUUGACGCUGAGGAGCGAAAGCGUGGGUAGCAAACAGGAUUAGAUACCCUGGUAGUCCACGCCGUAAACGGUGGGCACUAGGUGUGGGUUCCAACCAACGGAAUCCGUGCCGUCGCAAACGCAUUAAGUGCCCCGCCUGGGGAGUACGGCCGCAAGGUUAAAACUCAAAGGAAUUGACGGCUGAAGACNGCGAGCGACACGAGGGAGAG
rnacentral:rRNA from 1 species